AACCCUUCGGGGUUAGUGGCGCACGGGUGCGUAACGCGUGGGAACCUGCCUUUAGGUUCGGAAUAACAGUUAGAAAUGACUGCUAAUACCGAAUAAUGUCUUCGGACCAAAGAUUUAUCGCCUUUAGAUGGGCCCGCGUUGGAUUAGCUAGUUGGUAGGGUAAAAGCCUACCAAGGCGACGAUCCAUAGCUGGUCUGAGAGGAUGAUCAGCCACACUGGGACUGAGACACGGCCCAGACUCCUACGGGAGGCAGCAGUGGGGAAUAUUGGACAAUGGGCGAAAGCCUGAUCCAGCAAUGCCGCGUGAGUGAUGAAGGCCUUAGGGUUGUAAAGCUCUUUUACCAGGGAUGAUAAUGACAGUACCUGGAGAAUAAGCUCCGGCUAACUCCGUGCCAGCAGCCGCGGUAAUACGGAGGGAGCUAGCGUUGUUCGGAAUUACUGGGCGUAAAGCGCACGUAGGCGGC
rnacentral:rRNA from 1 species